rnacentral:rRNA from 1 species
GGCGGACGGGUGAGUAACGCGUGGGUAACCUGCCCUGUACAGGGGGAGUAACAAUCAGAAAUGACUGCUAAUACCGCAUAAGACCACAGCACCGCAUGGUGCAGGGGUAAAAACUCCGGUGGUACAGGAUGGACCCGCGUCUGAUUAGCUGGUUGGUGAGGUAACGGCUCGCCAAGGCGACGAUCAGUAGCCGGCUUGAGAGAGUGAACGGCCACAUUGGGACUGAGACACGGCCCAAACUCCUACGGGAGGCAGCAUG